rnacentral:lncRNA from 1 species
GACUUUCUCGACUCGUCGUCAGCCGGGGCCGCAGCGCGGCCGGUGGGGACUGCGGGGCGGGCCGGAGUCCGUCCGAGGGCUCCCGCACCUCGGGCUGCGGGAACAUUAAAAUCUCCCCAGAUGCUCACUGCUCUGAUCAUUUCCCCUACAGCACCAGACAUGUUGGCAUCAUCUCUUAGUUGGGCCAUGUGGCCAGGGAACCCUUCAUGAAACCACCUCUGCAGUCCUGGAGAGUUGCUGUAGAAGAAGGAAAAGAGAGGAAGACAACACAACACAGGAGGGGAUAAGUACCUCUGGACACAAUGGAAGUAGUAGUUGUUGAGCAGAGGGAAAGGGAUAGGAGAAGGAUGUGGACUGCAGUGCUGCAGUGCCAGACCAUUUUUUGUAAGGAAUCAUUUUAUCAACUAGGAUGACAAGAGGCCUCUCCCAUCCUGGUUGCACAUCACUUUCUAUAACAGAGAGACAUGGGCCAGAAGCCCUGAUGGAGAAAGCAGCCAAUGUCCCUUACAUUUCCACCUUUGGCUUGAAAAAAAGAUCUGUGCACUAAAUACAGGGAAAAAAAAAUGAAGUUAGGCUGGAAGAAGAAAGACAUUGUUACAUGGUAAAAUUGGAAAGAUUCAUACCAACAGUACGGGAUAAAGCAGGGGUCCCCAGCCCCUGGGCCACGGAACUGGACUGGUCCAGGGCCUGUUAGGAACUGGACUGCCCAGCAGGAGGUGAGUGGUAGGAAAUGAGCAUCACAGCCUGAGCUCCGCCUCCUGUCAGAUCAGUGGUGGCAUUACAUUCUCAUAGGAGUGCCAACCCUAUUGUGAACUGCACAUGUGAGGGAUCUAGGUUGCCCGCUCCUUAAGAGAAUGUAACUAAUGCUUGAUGAUCUGAGGUGGAAUAGUUUCAUCCUGAAACCAUACCCCCACUAAGCCCCCGCAUCCAUGAAAAAAUUGUUUUCCAUGAAACUGGUCCCUGCUGCCAAAAAGGCUGGGGACCGGUGGUAUAAAGUACGUCUGAGAAUGUAUACUUACUGAGAAUGUACCUUUAUACCCUGUAAGAUACCAUAGUGUUUUAUCAUUUUAUAAAAGCUGAGGCUCAGAGAGGGUUCUAAGAGUACUCAAGGUCACAAAGUUAAUCAACUGUCUAGGGAAGCUAGAAUUUCAAGUGAACCCUAUCUCUAAUUUGGCUCAAGAAAGAAUUUAAAUUUAAAUGACCAGAUGUAAUUUUCAAAUUUGUAUACAUGUUACAUGAGUACAUUCUCCUUUUAAAAUAU